AGGAUUCCCCUAGCUACGGCGAGCUCCCCGGGAAGAGCUCAAAUUUGAAAUCUGCUCCUCAGGGCGUCCGAGUUGUAAUCUAUAGAGGCGUUUUCCGUGCCGGACCGUGUCCAAGUUCCUUGGAACAGGAUAUCAAAGAGGGUGACAAUCCCGUACUUGACACGAUGACCGGUGCUCUGUGAUACGUCUUCUACGAGUCGAGUUGUUUGGGAAUGCAGCUCAAAAUGGGUGGUGAGUUCCAUCUAAAGCUAAAUAUUGGCGAGAGACCGAUAGCGAACAAGUACCGUGAGGGAAAGAUGAAAAGCACUUUGGAAAGAGAGUUAAACAGUACGUGAAAUUGUUGAAAGGGAAACGAUUGAAGUCAGUCGUGACUGAGAGGCUCAGCCGGUUCUGCCGGUGUAUUCCCCUCAGUCGGGUCAACAUCAGUUUUGUCCGGUGGAAAAGGGCGGUAGGAACGUGGCACCUCCGGGUGUGUUAUAGCCUGCCGUCGCAUACAUCGGGUGAGACUGAGGAAUGCAGCUCGCCUUUAUGGCCGGGGUUCGCCCACGUCCGAGCUUAGGA
rnacentral:rRNA from 1 species